rnacentral:tRNA from 1 species
CGCGGGGUAGCUCAGGGGUCAGAGCGUCGGGCUCAUAACCCGGUGGUCGCCGGUUCAAAUCCGGCCCCCGCACCCA